AUAAACGCUGACAGAAUGCUUAACACAUGCAAGUCGAUGAUGGGAGCUAGCUUGCUAGCAGCAGUCAUGGCGGACGGGUGAGUAACGUGUAAAGAACUUACCAUAUAGACUGGGAUAACAGAGGGAAACUUCUGAUAAUACUGGAUAAGUUAGUAGUAGCAUUACUAAGUAAUGAAAGGUAGCAAUACGCUAUAUGAGAGCUUUGCAUCCUAUUAGCUAGUUGGUGGGGUAAAAGCCUACCAAGGCGAUGAUAGGUAGCCGGCCUGAGAGGGUGGACAGCCACAAGGGGACUGAGAUACGGCCCUUACUCCUACGGGAGGCAGCAGUGGGGAAUAUUGGACAAUGGAGGCAACUCUGAUCCAGCAAUUCUGUGUGUGUGAAGAAGGUUUUAGGACUGUAAAACACUUUUAGUAGGGAAGAAAGAAAUGACGGUACCUACAGAAGAAGCGACGGCUAAAUACGUG
rnacentral:rRNA from 1 species